rnacentral:rRNA from 1 species
CUUUGAUGAAGUUUUCGGAUGGAUUUAAACAGCUUAGUGGCGGACGGGUGAGUAACGCGUGGGUAACCUGCCUCACACUGGGGGAUAACAGUUAGAAAUGACUGCUAAUACCGCAUAAGCGCACAGUAUCGCAUGAUACGGUGUGAAAAACUCCGGUGGUGUGAGAUGGACCCGCGUUUGAUUAGCUAGUUGGUGGGGUAACGGCCUACCAAGGCGACGAUCAGUAGCCGGCCUGAGAGGGUGAACGGCCACAUUGGGACUGAGACACGGCCCAAACUCC